ensembl:lncRNA
CCCACUCCCGCUGAUGGCCCUACAGGCGGACCCUGUCUAGAGGGUCACUAUUGUCCCAUAGGAACCACUCAGCCAUUGUCCUGUGAUCCAGGGACGUAUAUGAUUGUAACACAUGCAACUCAAUGUGAGCCCUGUUCCCCUGGCUGGUACUGUGUGACAGGCACCCUGCAACUGUGUCCUGCAGGUUUUUACUGUCCCGAGGGAACGGGAUAUGACUUGAGAGCUUGUCCGGAGGGCACAUACAGCACUGAGCUGGGCUUGACAUCCAUCAGCCAGUGCAGGCAGUGUGACGGUGGCCAUUACUGUCCACUUAGGAAUGGCACCUCAGUCACAGGACAGUGCCUGGAGGGGUAUUACUGCUCCUACGGAAACACCUCUCCACAGCCUUCCUCUCACUCUGCAGGUGGAGGACCAUGCCCUGCAGGUCACUACUGCCCUAGAGGCACCAUCGAUCCUCAACCUUGCCCCAUUGGCACAUUCAGCAACCUGACCAAACUAGUCUCCCAGAACGGCUGCCGGCACUGCUCCCCAGGUUAUUACUGUGACGCGUCUGGGCUAACAGCGCCUACAGGGGAAUGCUGGGAAGGUUUUUAUUGUCGCCGUGGAGCAGUUUUCCCCAACAGCCCUAUCAGAGACAGCCGAGGAGGGCCGUGUCCACGAGGUUAUUUUUGCUCUAAGGGUUCGUCAGCUCCGCGAGAGUGUCCCCAGGGAGCCGUCAGUUUAGAAGAGGGUCGAUCCAGCUGUAGCCCCUGUCCCCAGGGUUAUUACUGUCCUGGCAACAGCUCCCUCCAUGAAACCAAUGAGUGCCCUGUGGGUCAUUACUGCCCAAAUGGCACCUCCUCUCAGUACCAGUACCCAUGCCCUGCUGGGACCAGCAACCCACACACUAGGAUGGGCAGUCCACAGGACUGCCUGCCAUGCCCCCCAGGGUUUUUCUGUGCCUUUCCUGGACUGAGUGCCGUAUCGGGCCAAUGCAUCGCUGGCUAUCUUUGCCACUCUGGAGCAGUAUCCCCGAAACCAGAAGACGGUGUGACCGGUGAGCGGUGUCCCCAAGGUCAUUACUGUCCAGAGGGCUUGGCUGCAGCGCCACGUCCCUGUCCUCUAGGAUAUUAUAGCAACACCACCAGGAACACACAACUCUCUGACUGCCUGCCCUGCCCUGCAGGGUUCAUUUGUGCCAGCAGAGGGCUCUCCAUCCCUUCUCAUCUCUGCCAGGCUGGCUCCUACUGCCCUUACAGACACAACUCCAGCCUCCCUGGCUCUAUCACCUGCUCAGCUGGGCAUAUGUGCCCACUUGGCAGUGCCAUCCAGGUUCCCUGUGUGCCAGGGACUUACCAGGAUCAAUCUGGGCAGGCAGAGUGUUUUACCUGUCCAGCAGGGUUUUACUGUGCAGGCUCAGUACAUCCUAACACAGAACAGGGGGUGGGAACACACAUGCCAACCCCUUGUCUGAAGGGACACUACUGCCCCCCAGGCACACGGUCUGGUGUGGAGUACCCAUGCCCAGCUGGCACGUUUAGUGGGCAGACCAGCACAUCUAAUAAGAGUGGGUGUGUGCCCUGCCCUCCAGGGAAGUACUGCAGCUCUGCAGGGUUGGCAGCGCCUACUGGGCAAUGCUCUCCUGGGUACCUUUGUAUCCGAGGCUCUGUUACUUCUCAGCCAGCUGGAGAUCCUACAGGUGGAAAAUGCAUCGCUGGGUCCUACUGCCCACUGGGUACCAGUCACAUGCUUCUAUGCCCGCCUGGUACUUUCAGCUCUUUAGAAGGGGCAGUAUCUGUGGCUGCGUGCCAGCCCUGUGUGCCUGGGCAGUACUGUGCAGACUUUGGCCUUGCCUCCCCAUCUGGUCCCUGCAGCGCUGGGUUCUACUGCCCAAUAGGAUCCAGAACCCCCAUGCCAAAUCAUAAUGCAACAAGUAAUAAUGAACCAAGAAAUGCAACUUCUGUAUAUCCUCCUCGUGAUGGAGAGGUCUUGGAACAGAUCAAUGGAGACCUGUGUCCAGGAGGCCACUACUGUCCGAUUGGGACAGCUCAGCCAAUACCCUGCCCCCCAGGCACCUUUCUGGGUGGAUAUGGUGGUCAAUCAGAGGCAGACUGUGAGGCUUGUCCGUCUGGAUUCUACUGCCCUGUGUGGGGGCAGACCACCACAGACCUCCACUGUCCCCAGGGUUGGUUCUGUCCAGUAGGCGCUGUAUCAGGGCAUCAACCAGAAUGUCAGUGCCCGUCUGGUCAUUCGUGCCCGUAUGGAAGUGCCAAGCCUGUCAUCUGUGCCCCUGGCACCUAUCAGUCUUUGACUGGUCAGUCUACAUGCAAGACCUGCCCACCAGGUUUUUAUUGUGUGGAGGGAACCUCUGUCCCAACACCAUGCCCAGCUGGCAGUGUGAGUCAGGCUGAGGGGAGAGCAUCUCAGAGGGAGUGUUCUCCAUGCCCUCCUGGGCUCUACUGCAACAGCAGUGCUCUCACCUCUCCCUCAGGACCCUGCUCUCCAGGCCACUUCUGUUCCCGUGGAGCUACUGUUCCUGAUCCAGUCUCCCAGACCUUUGGGGAUGUCUGCCCUCUAGGACACUACUGCCCAGAGGGUAGUGGGUCGCCCACACCCUGUUCUGUGGGUAGCUACCUUCCAGAGAGGGGUGCUCCAUCCCCCUCCCGCUGCUACCCUUGUCCCCCAGGAAGAUACUGCCUCAACCCAGGCUCCUCACAAUUCACAGGUCCUUGCUCCCCUGGUUUCUACUGUAGUGGCGGUGCAGACAGUGCUAUACCCCAGGCUAACUCCUCCCAGCUCAGCUGCCUUUGUGGCAUGAUAAAGGUCCAUCCUACUAACCAAGAUCUUUGUUCCUGGUUACACAACACUUCCUGCUCACCUAACAGUAUAGAUACAGAUGGAGAUGGGAGCUGGAUGGAUGUCGUAGCUAGGCCAUGGUCAGGUCAGGCCUUGGCCGACUCUACACCUCAUCUCAGGAGUCCACUUUAUAAAUGUGCUAACUUCAAAGGCGAUAUAUGUCCCAAAGGUUUCUACUGUCCUGUAGGAUCGGCUUACCCUCAGCCCUGUGACACUGGCUUCUACUGUGGUCAGACUGGCCUGGAAGCCCCCAGUGGCCUCUGUACCCCAGGCUAUUUCUGCUCCAGGGGUUCCACGACCCCUCACGCCUCACUCUGCCCCCCUGGACACUACUGCCCCCAGGGCACACCUCUCCCUCUACCUUGCCCUCCUGGAACCCUGAAGGGUCGAUCAGGCGGGUCCACAGUGGACGAUUGCCAGCCUUGCCCCCCUGGUCAUUACUGCGAUCAGAUAGGCUUGGCCGGGCCCAGCGGUCAGUGUGCUGCUGGCUACUACUGUCCUGGGGGACAGAGCACUGAUAGACCGUCACAACAUGUGUGUGGAGUUGGUCAUUUCUGCAAGGAGGGUAGCGUGAGAGAGAGAGCCUGUGCCCCAGGCAGCUACCAGCCUAGUGAGGGUCAGCACCGAUGUGAGGUGUGUCCUUCUGGCUUCUACUGUCUUGAAGAAGGAAGGACACACUUGGUUCCAUGCGGAAGAGGAUUCUAUUGUCCACGUGGAACAGCCAAUCAGCAUCCUUGUCCAUCCGGGACCUAUGGAAACUUAUCAGGAUUGGCUGACGAAUCGGAAUGCUCUUUGUGUGAACCGGGGAUGUACUGUAAAGGAACAGGGAGAAAUUACCCCAGUGGUCCAUGCAGUGCAGGGUUUGUGUGUUUUGGGGCCGCCUCUCAACCCUCCCCCUCAGACAACAUCACAGGCGCUCCAUGUCCUCCUGGAUUCCACUGUCCUGUUGGAAGCUCCGUACCAAUGCCCUGCCCUAAAGGCACAUUCAGUGAGCAAAGUGGACUAACGGAGCCCUCCCAGUGUCGUAGAUGUGUUCCAGGGUUCUACUGUGCAGAGCCAGGCCUUAAAGCAGUCACUGGAGCCUGUCUGCCAGGUUUCUACUGUUUGGAAGGGUCCCAGAGUGCUGCCCCGAUGUCAGGUGUAUUUGGAGGUGUUUGCAACCCAGGCCACUACUGUGAGAGUGGGACCAGUGUGCCUGCAUCCUGCCCUGCUGGCACCCAUCACAAUAACACCGGAGGGAAGAAGAGUGAUGACUGCAAGCCAUGUCCUGAUGGUUGGUUCCAGGACUUGGAGGGCCAGAGGGAGUGUAAGCCCUGUCCCCCUGGCUCUCACUGCCUGACCACCAACACAACUGGCAGCACCAGUGGCCCCAUCACCCCUCUGCCCUGCCCAGCUGGCUAUGUCUGCCCCAGAGAGAGCUCCUUCAGCCAACCCUACCCCUGCCCCAAAGGCACCUACAGCCCUACUCUGGGUCUCACAUCCCUUGGGGAGUGCUUGGUUUGUCCGGCGGGCCAGUUCUGUGGAUCAGAGGGUCUGGUUGAGCCCACUGGACCCUGUGCUCCUGGAUUCCUCUGUGUUACCAGGGCCACAGUGCCCAACCCCACCGACAACAGGACAGGGUCAACCUGCCCCCCCGGAUCAUACUGCCAACUAGGAUUCAGAGCAGGUGCUUGUGCCCCUGGGUUCUUCUGUGACUGGGGCUCCAGUAGUCCUGAGGAGGCCCUCUGUCCAGCAGGCUACUUCUGUCCAGGAGGAACUAGGACCCCCCUGGCCUGUCCUGCAGGGACACACAGCUCAGUGACAGGCAACAGCCACCAGAACAACUGUACAACAUGUCCUGAUGGCUACUACUGUCAGGGAGAAGGGGUGGUCUAUCCAGUGGUCUGUCCUCUUGGUCACUACUGCCCUCCUGGGUUGGCCGUGGGUGUGAAGUUCCCCUGUCCCCCUGGCACAGUGCAGAGCAAGCCUGGAGCCUCCAGCCUGGACCACUGUCUACCAUGCCCUGCAGGGAUGUUCUGUGCCCUACCUGGGCUUUCCCAGACAACGGGGCCUUGCCAGGCAGGAUACCACUGUCCCCCAGGUGCCAUCACACCCAAUGCUACUGAAUACGAGCAGAAUUCUACCAGUAAUAAUCUGUGCCCCCGUGGCCACUACUGUCCAGCUGGCACUGGCUACCCUCUUCCGUGCCCACCGGGCUCUCUCUCCAGCUCCCUGGGACUGAGGGGCGUAGAGGAGUGCCAGCCUUGCCCCCCUGGGCACUUCUGUGACAAGCCUGCGCUGACCGCGGAUGGCGCCCCGUGUAGCGCUGGGUAUGUGUGUCUAGGGGGUAGCUCCAGUGCCCACCCCUCUGAUGGUCACCAUGGUUACCUGUGCCCCACAGGGCAUCGCUGUCCUGUUGGCACAGCUUCAGCGGUACCCUGUGAGCCUGGCACCUACAGUCCUGCCCCUGGUGCCGCCCACUGCCUCACCUGCCCUAAUGGCACCAUGUGUCCCUCCUCUGCCACCCAAGAGCCCUCUCUCUGCCCUGCUGGUCACUUCUGUCCUGCCCGGUGUGUGUUACCGCUGCCUUGUCCUGUUGGGACCCUCAGUGAACAGACAGGAGCCCCCUCGCCCUCUGCAUGCAGGCCCUGCCCCUCUGGGCUCUACUGUAGCUUGCCCGGCUCCUCACUACCACAAGGCCAGUGCCAGCAGGGCUACUUCUGCCAGCGUGGAGCACAUAGUCCAGCUCCCCAGAGCUCAGCCAUCUUUCCCAGGAACGGGCCCUGUCCUGUGGGCCACUAUUGCCUUUCUGGGACCCUCUCCCCACUGCCGUGUCCUGCAGGCAGCAUCCGAAACCACACCGGUGGGUUAUCCUUAGACAGCUGCUCCCCUUGCCCCCAUGGACACUACUGUUCCAUUGAGGGCCUGGCCUCCCCCAGUGGCCUGUGUGCUGCUGGCUUCUACUGCCCGUUUGACUUCUCCUCCACCACGCCCUAUGCUUUCCUCUGCCCUAAGGGUCACUACUGUCCAGAGGGCUCUCCCCUGGCCCUGCCCUGUCCUACAGGAGAGUACCAGCCCAACCCAGGCUCUGACUCCUGCAUCCCAUGCCGCCCAGGCUUCUACUGUGAGGAGGCCAUUGUUGGAGAGCCCUGGCCUUGCCCCCCUCACUCCUUCUGCCCUGCAGCCACCAUGGUUCCCCAGCCGUGCCCCAACGGUACGUUCACCCCUUCUGACCAGGGGGGGUUACAGGAAGAGCGGGAGUGUCUGCCCUGCCUCCCAGGGAGGUUCUGCAGGGCUGGUAAGAUCAAGGGCCAUUGUGCAGCAGGGUAUCUGUGUAUGUCUGGCAGCUCUGAGUUCACGCCACAGGGGCCUCACUCCAACUGGAGCCAGUGUGAAUGGGGGAUGCAGUGUGCCGGCCCCUGUCCAGCAGGAUUCUACUGCCCAGAAGGUUCAGAGAAGCCUGAAGUCUGCCCUGAUAACACUAUCAGAGUUUUACCUGGAGCAGCCAAUAUCCAUGAUUGUCUGUCUUGUCCACCACAGCACUGGUGCAAAAAAGGUGACCCUGUCCUGCACCUGUGUCCUGCUGGUCACUACUGUGAUGGGGUGGUUGGUAGUGACUACGAGGGAGGGACUGAACCCAGGGAAUGUCCGUUAUUUACCUACAGAUCCACACCCGGGGCAGCCAGCAAGGGGGACUGCCACCCCUGUCCCCCUGGAUUCUACUGUAACUCUACAGGUUUUACAGAUUACUCUGGCUACCCCUGUCCCCCGGGCUACUGGUGCAGUGGCACUGGUCUACCUAUACUAUGCCCUGCGGGUACCAUGAGGCCCCUUCCAGGGGCGGCAGCUGCCAGUCAGUGUGAGCCGUGUGCGGGGGGCACCUACUGCCCAGACCCCAUGUCCACAGGGCAGCCCAACAUUGCUGGAAUCUCCUGUAGAGCCUCGUUCCAGUGUCCCCCUGGUGCGGUCUCAGAGAGGCUGUGCAAGGCUGGCUCUUACUGUGGGCCCCAGACUGCAGAGCCUGAAAUCUGUCCUGAAGGCUACCUCUGUCCAGAGGGAUCUCACACCUACAACACACCAAACCAAGUUUGCGCGUUUCCCUACUACUGUCCUGCCAACAGCUCUGCCAUGCUGUCCUGUGAGGGGGGCUCCGUGCCCCUCAACACCAGUGGCCCCAGAGCCUCCCAGGACAGCAGCUGUGGGCUGUGUGAGGCAGGGACCUACCGACCUCGGCUGUCCCCCCAACCUCAGUGCCUCACCUGCCCACCAGGGUACCACUGCCCUCCAGGGACAGAGCACUACCACAGCAACCCCUGUCCCCUGGGCUAUGUGUGUCCGCUGGGCUCAUCCAGUCCUGUCCCUUGCCCCCCUGGUUCUUUUGGUAAUCUCUCCAACGCUGAACAUGUGGAGGACUGCUACCCAUGUCCAACUGAUACCUUCAACCAUCUGGCUGCCCAGAGAGCCUGUUUCCCCUGCGGAAGUUCCUCUACUGCACCCCAAGGGGCCUCUUCCUGCACCUGCCUUGGGAAGAACCGUGCUUUCCAGCACUCAGACGGCUCCUGUCUGUGUCGAACCGGCUUUAUUUUCUACAACAAUCUGGAUUUCAAGAUCUCCAGCUCUGACAGUGAACUGGACUGCCAGCCUGAGGUGAACAAGCGCUGCAGUGCAGGACAGGUGCGCCUGGCUGCAUCCAGAGAGUGUGUCUCACCCUCUCACCACUCCUGUAACAUCACCUGUGGACCUCAGGGAGGGAGUCUGGAUGUGGAGAUGGGCAUCUGCCACUGUGAGCGCUACGUAUCAGCAGAGGAGCUGUGCAACACAUCGUGUCUGUCCAGACUGCCCCACGUCUCUGCCAGGCUCUCCCCAGAUGGACAGCUGCUGCUGGGGAUCAAAGAGCCAGAUGAAAGCCGAGUGUGGAGCAGAAAAAUGAUGGAUGUUUUGGGACCAGACGUCCAUGUGAAGAACAUUGGAAACAUCCACUUUGUUCAAUUUGAUUCUGAAGGUGUAUUUGGUUGGAUUCUGAUGGACCGAAAUGUUAUUGAAAUGACCCUGACAGCAGAGCCAAUCGAAUUUAUUGACAUGCGAUCAAGGAAGAGGAGGGAUCUAGAAUCCAAGGCAGAACUUCUACACUCCUAUGUCCUCCCUCGUAUCCCCAACCCCAUAGCAUGCCUCUCCUCCAAUGACAUGCUCAUCUUCCAGCUCACCAUCAACUACAAUGACCGUCACAUCAGCCACUUCCCAGUGUAUCAGAAAGACCAUCUCUUCAAUAGCAACCCUAGCUGGGACUUUGGGGCCUUCCGGCGGCUAGAGCGACUCAUGAAGCAGACUCAGUUCAACUCUACCAGAUUUGCACACGUGUUCUCGGAGACGGGGAAGUAUGUGUUCCUGGACAACGCCAUUCCAGAGUGGAGUCUAGUGGUGGUGGUCAGUGAGAGAGGGACAGAGUGUGACCCCACUGCAGCUGUUUUCCAGCCCAUGACCCCCGCCCAACUGGUCAAGCACGGGGUCAUCAAACAACACCGGCUCAACCUGCUGCCUGACUGGGGCGCCAUCGUAGGUGUCCUGAGUCUCCUGCUUGUGCUGAUCCUGGUGCUCACCACCACAGCUCUGGUUCUGAAGUCCAGUCGGGCCAAGCUGGUGUGCCAGGGCAAACUGAGGCCUAAGUGGCGGAGCCUGGGAGAGCCCAUCCCCCCAGUGGAAUACGUCUACAGUGGAGAAAGCCUGAAUGGCCAGGGGGUGCUGGGCUGCAGGGGAGUCGGAGAGGGGGCUGAAGCUGAGGAGCCUGCAGUCUGCCGUGGAGGAGGAUACAUGACUGGGAAGUUUGAUCUGGAGCAAUUCAACGUGAAAACUCUCUACGACAAGCUGGAGGAUCAGAACCUGCAUUUGGCGUCCCAGCUGGCCAGGCACCGCAAGGACACCCAGGAGUUCUACCGGAAUAUCUGUCAACAAACAGAUACCCUGAGGGAUGUUCUGGAGAACAUGGAACCCAAAAAGUUGAGUCUGUUGAAAGAGCUAUUGGAACGCGAUGCCUUGCAGAAUGAAUCAUACACCAACACGGAUGCAGACGGGGAUGGACAUAUCCAAUCAGCAAAAGAUCCGUCAGUGGUGCUGAUGGGAGCUGUGGUCAGAGCUUUGGAGGCAGUCCUGUACAGACUUAGUGGAGAGAGCUGGCAGCAGCAUGACAUGACCGCAGCACACUGCCACACAGACAGCAGGGAGUGUGAACUGCACACAGGCUACAUACAGUUUUCCUCAGCCAACAUGACCAAACCUGCAUCAGGCCAUGAGACAGGACCACCACCUCAUGAUCUAGUACACCUACAGAGCACAGCCCCCUGUCUGAGUGAGCAGGACCUGUCCAAACUAGUGGCCAUGACCCCUCUGUCCAGGACCCUGCAGGAGAUACAGGAGUCCCUCCAGAACCUAUCUGGUGUAGACAGAGUUUGUAUUCCAGCCAGGACUGACAAAACCACAGAGGACCCAACAGUGCACCUGAUUCCCGUUGCCCUGGACAACCUCUCCCCACAGCACUUUGCCAUCUUCCUGUUCGGCUGUCAUGUUGUGAAACUGCUUUGCAACACUCAAAUCUUCCCCCCUGUCAUGCUGCUUCUGUCCAAAACGGUUCCUGUCUCAGCUUACGAGGGCCUGGUGUCACACUGCAGUGGGGACUUUUAUUUUGACACAACCAACCAGAUUCUGUAUCUCUGUGAGGCAAAGCUUGAGAGUGUGGGACAGUUUAUUGCCACUCUCCUACAGUCUAUGGCCUAUAUUGCUUCAGGUUCCAAGCCUGAAAGCUUCAUGCAAGUCCUCCAUCAUGCCAUCUCUGCUUUGAGCCUUCAGUUGUUCAACGCCUCUUUCAGAUAUGAUGCAAACAAGGCAAAGAGGGACACCUCACUGACCUCAGACCAGUCUCCUGGGAAGUUAGUAGAGGACUUUCUCAAUGUCCGUGUCCCCACUGAUAGCCAGUUCACAGAGCACCUCUUGUCAGACAGACUCCAACGAUAUAAGUAUUUCAAUGUGGAGCAAAUCAUGCGGGAUCUUAAACAGUUUCCAGCAGAGGACACUGAAAAGGGACCUUCACAACAGUGUUUAAGAACACCCGUCCAAGCUCACUGUUUGGAGAAGGAGAUGGACCAUCUGAAUGAGGUUUUCCUGCAGCUCAGCGUUCAACUCCAGAAGAGAACCCAGGGCGCAACAACCGAGAAGGCCCUGAGUCGUAAUGGAACAAUGAUGUUAGAGCUGAAGAGACGGUAUGUAUCCCAGAGGCUCGACGAGCUGCAAAUCAUAUUAAAUGGGAUGAGCCGGCGCCAGCUAGACGGCCACAGCCCAGAGGAAGAGGAGCAGACCCGAGAUCACCCACACCCAGAGCCAGACAACUAUAGAUCAGACGGUCAGGAGGAACACGAUCAUUCUCCAGACCAGGAGGACCUAGACAGCAGGGUACCAAAGAACCAUAAACUAGAAAAUAACCAGAGCCCGUACAAUCAGGAAGUAGAAAGCCAGGGACCAAGCAGUCAGAUGACAAGCAUGGGUAAAACAAGCUUCGGAGAACUAGAUGUAUGGGAAUAAGCCAGUUAGAAGCAUUGUGAAAAUGGGAUACUACUGAAGUGUGUGGUUUUGGUGUGAUUUGUCUCAUGAUUUUGUAGAUUACGUGUACAGUCUAGUGUAUGGUGUGAAUAAUAGAUGUAUAAUAGGUUCAUCACAUGUGAUUUAAUCAAACUGAUCAUUUUCGUUGGAG